rnacentral:misc_RNA from 1 species
GAUGAAGAACGUAGCGAAAUGCGAUAAGUAAUGUGAAUUGCAGAAUUCAGUGAAUCAUCGAAUCUUUGAAUGCACAUUGCGCCCCCCAGUAUUCUGGCGGGCAUGCCUGUUCGAGCGUCAUUUCAACCAUCAAGCCCUGCUUGUGUUGGGGUCCUGCGGCUGCCCGCAGGCCCUGAAAACCAGUGGCGGGCUCGCUAGUCACACCGAGCGCAGUAGCACAUCUCGCUCAGGGCGUGCGGCGGGCUCCAGCCGUUAAAGCACCCACCUUUCGCAAGGUUGACCUCGGAUCAGGUAGGAAUACCCGCUGAACUUAAGCAUAUCAAUAAGCGGAGGA